AUGUCUGGGCCAAAAGCCCACGUGAUAUUUCUGCUGGUCCUGCGCUUCGGCCGAGCGAGCCGAUCCCCAAAUCCGGGACAACGCCGGCCGCCGGCCACUGUUCCUUCCUUGGGGCAUCCACCUACCCACGGACGGAGAUCUCUCGACGUGGCGUCGCCGCGGAGUGCCGUGCCGAUGAGCUGGCGCGGGAGGCCGCCGGCGACCGGGGAGGACGAGGGAGAUGGCCGCGUCUCCGCCCGAGUUUGCGCGGCGCGGUGCGGAAGCGGGGGGAGGAGGAGGAAGCCGGCGGCCACUGUUGACGGUAAGAGCAUCAGCCGUGGUGCACUGCUUUUCUUUUGGCCCCACCUACCAAUUUUGGGGUAG
rnacentral:rRNA from 1 species